AUGAAGGACGAGGAAGCGCUCCGACUUUUACGAUGGAGAAUUUGGCCCGAAAGAACUAUUGUGGGCCCUUCCACUACUUUGGAGCCCUCCGAGGUACUACGGCUUCAAACGCUCCUCAAGUGGACCUCAUGUGCAUUGGGUCCUCUGACUCUUACGCCAUUGACAGGGUCGAACCCACACUCUUAUGGGGAAUGUCUGGUUCCUCCUUCAGAGGAUAACUCUUUAUAUUUAGCCAAUCUUUCUUGGUGUGCCCUAGAGGAAUAA